rfam:Oscillibacter sp. CAG:155 genomic scaffold, scf134
GGACCACUCCUGCGGGAGUCAAGGCCAUACGGACAGCCGGGUCCACUGCCGA